rnacentral:misc_RNA from 1 species
UGUCUAAUUAUUAAAUUGCAUUACUCGUUAAAAUAUACGUAAAAUUCUAAGUAAUGUUUCCUCACUUCGUAUAUAGAUUUAUAAGUCGUUUCUCAUAGUGCACGAACGAAUUUUUAGCAUAUUUUUGCCCAUUUAAAUGCUAAUUUUAGCCUUUUUUUAAAAAAAGUUGGCCCGCUUCUUUAUGCGCAUUUAAGCAUAGUUUUUAAGCGCAAAUUAUUUUGUUUAUCGGCUACGUCUAAGUAGUAACGUUUAAAGAAUUUUUGUUUUUCUAUUUUCCUUUUUGCUUUGUCUAGUGUGACGUUUCGUCCUGUUGUAAGUACACUUGCACUCGCAGGUGACGUCAUUCGAUACCAACGUGUCUGCUGGAACGGAUGGCUUCCUUCUAUUCUCGUAAUUUCUCUAUUGCUGGUUUUACCCAGGAUUGUUGCACUGUUCUUAGGCAAAACUUUAGGAAGAAGGAAUAUUGAAUAAAUAUUUAACUGGAUUUUUAGUUGUUUUCUGUGAUAUUUAUUACAUCAUUGUUUUAAGUGGCAAUCUACAAUGAAAGAUUGUGAUGACAUUUCUGUAUCAUCAGGGAUUCAUCAUCUGCAAAUGGUUUCAUCACUGGGUUCCAUAAUGGCAAAUUUUAAUGUUUCUUGCUUAGAUAAUUGUUCUGGGCACGGUGAUUGUUAUAAUGGGACUUGUUUUUGCGAGGUAAAAUAUAGCGGCGGUACUUGCACCGAUCCAAAUUUUAGUUAUUAUAUUGCAUUUUCUUCCAUUUUUUAUAUUAUAUGUGGAGUGUCUUUUAUUCAAUUGAUUCUUUCCAUAAAAGCAGAAUUUGGUCGCUUGAAAUCUCCAUCUUUAUUAAAAGCAUGUAGAGUUACUAAAGAAAAAUUGUUAUAUGUAUUAAUAUGCCUAGCGACAGGAAUGAGAGGGUUUUAUUUUUCGUCGCCUGAAAAUUCUCAUCUUCACUGGGCGUCAGGAAUGAUGAGAGCAUAUUAUCCAUUGGUCUUAACAGGAUCAUCUCUUAUUGUUUGUUUUUGGGCAGAAGUAUUCCAUUUACCCGACAUUCAGUCGGAUCAACCUUGUUUUUUAAGUAAAUCUUUCCUGGGAUUUAUUGCUUUUAAUAUCAUUCCCUACACGAUGCUAAUAACUGAAGUUUUACUACACCAGUUUUUUAUUUCAACUGAAAUUGAAAAGAGUUUCAUCACAACAAUAUUUGAUAGUUUAUACGCUGCCCUCAUAUUUAUAGUUGUUAUAUUUUUCCUCAUUUAUGGAGUACAAGUAUACUUCAAAGUUCGCGGAGGAUUCAUAGAAGCUUCAUCGACAAUAAACUUGUCGCAGCUUCAUCAGUCACGUUUGGGGCUCGUUUCUCAAGCCAUUUUAUUAUUGCUGACUGCUGGUUUUAUUGUUUCUGAUGUUCUUGGAGGAUUUUGGAAAGAUAAAUUACCAGUAAUGAGCAGAAAUUGGUAUGAUAUUAUGUAUAAAGUAGCUGAACUGGGAGUUGUUUUGUGGUUUCCGUGUGUAUUGUGGAAUUGUAUUAGUCCGGAACAGUUAUGGAUAUUGAAUCCAAGAAGAAUUUUACAGAAGUUAGAAAGGAAAAAGCAUUAUGAUGAGACAAAUGCUCUCGUGUCGCCGUGUAGAAAUAUUGUAGUCAUCAAAAAUGAGUCAAAUACAUUAGAAAGGCUUCCAGAAUGUUGGAUAUGUUAUGAUUCGGAAAGAACUGAUGCGGGACCUCUAAUCCAACCGUGCAACUGUAAAGGUGAUGUGUCAAUAGUUCAUCAUGAAUGUCUCAAGAAAUGGCUUGUUGAAUCAUCAGCUAAUCCAGACUGUAAAGAAUGCAAAGUUUGUAAAGUUAAAUACGAAUUAGAAAGUGGCCACGUCUGGCUCACGAAGGGGCUAACGCCGACGCAUUGGGUUCAGACCGCCGCGAUCAUAACGGUUAUGUGCAGCGCCAUCACCGGAGCCUGCAUAUGUGUCAAGGUGUUUGAUAACGUCGGCAUCCGUACUUUGGCCGUAGGCAUUGCUUUGAUUUUGGAAUAUGUGUGUUUAAGGUAUGUUUUAAGAAUUUUAUUAAUUUAAAAAAAAAAAUCUUUAGAAUUUCUUAACUUUACACUGUUAUUCUAUAAAGCUAAAACUUUGGUGAAUUAUAAGUACUUUAAUUAAUGCUACUGCAGCAAAUUGAUAUUACACCCAAUUCUGUUUUUACACAAGAUUGGUUCCCAGAAAUGACAUGUAAAAAAUAAAUUGUAUAUAUGGAAAAAUUAGAAGAUUGGUUACGGACGUAAGAAAUAAAUGAAAAUAAUGAAAUAAAAUUUGAUGAUAUACAAAAGCAUAUGAAAAAAAAUUUUUUUUAUUUCAUAUACAUUGCACAUAAAUUUAUGUUCCUGUAAUUCAUUUUUAUUUCAUUUGAAAAACAAAAAAAAAACAAAUUAAUGAACAUAAAAAUUGGGCAGAAUGUAUAAUAUGAGGUAUACAUAUGCAUUUAUUGUCAGAAGUGAUGGCAAGUAAAAUCUUAUGUUUGCACAUGAUUGCAGUAUCACUAAAAAUGGUUUAGCCAUUGUGUUCUUCAUCCACAGGUGAAGUUCUUUCUGUGAACUCCCGAACGUUAGCAGUAAUGUCCUGUUCUGUCGACGGUAACUGGUUUUAUAAACAAAUUCAGUUAUUCUAUAUCAUACAAACGGCUGGGUUCAUAUUGUGGCUAGGUCUUUAUAUAAUUCUCUAUAAGACA